rnacentral:rRNA from 1 species
UACGUAGGGUGCGAGCGUUAAUCGGAAUUACUGGGCGUAAAGCGCACGUAGGCGGCUUUUUAAGUCAGGGGUGAAAUCCUGGAGCUCAACUCCAGAACUGCCUUUGAUACUGAGAGGCUCGAGUCCGGGAGAGGUGAGUGGAACUGCGAGUGUAGAGGUGAAAUUCGUAGAUAUUCGCAAGACACCAGUGGCGAAGGCGGCUCACUGGCCCGGUACUGACGCUGAGACGCGAAAGCGUGGGGAGCAAACAGG